UCACUUCACAUUAAGGCGUUUUCGCUUAUAUGGGACCUGUCCGUUUCGGCGGGCUAUGGUGAUAAACUGCGGUGUGUAAUAGACGCAACGGACCCGGGGGCAGUACCCGGCGGCUCCACCAAAAAGCGCAUAUUUACAGGCGCUUCCUGAUGGGGCCGAACCAGGAUCGACGUGUGUUGAAAGGCAUUGUUUUCACCCGGGCUGAGUAUCCCGCAAAACUGUUCAAAACACACAAGUGCCAACGAUAACGAAGCACUCGCUCUCGCAGCGUAACAUGACGGCCUAACGGCCUAACGUUACAAAGCUAAAGCGCGGUUGGACCCACCGGGCAACAGAAGCGGAUUCC
rnacentral:tmRNA from 1 species